GACGAACGCUGGCGGCGUGCUUAACACAUGCAAGUCGAGCGGUAAGGCCCCUUCGGGGGUACACGAGCGGCGAACGGGUGAGUAACACGUGAGCAAUCUGCCCUUCACACGGGGAUAACUCCGGGAAACCGAAGCUAAUACCCGAUACGACCACUUCAGGCAUCUGAUGGUGGUGGAAAGUUCCGGCGGUGAAGGAUGAGCUCGCGGCCUAUCAGCUUGUUGGUGGGGUAACGGCCCACCAAGGCAACGACGGGUAGCCGGCCUGAGAGGGUGAGCGGCAACACGGGGAAUGAGGCCAGGCCCAAGCUACUACGGGGGGAAGCGUUAGGGAAUAUUGGACAAUGGGCGAAAGCCUGAUCCAGCAACGCCGCGUGAGGGAUGACGGCCUUCGGGUUGUAAACCUCUUUCAGCAGGGACGAAGCGCAAGUGACGGUACCUGCAGAAGAAGCACCGGCCAACUACGUGCCAGCCGCCGCCGUAA
rnacentral:rRNA from 1 species